AUGCAGGCCUUCAUUAACAAGCAGGUGUAAAUUUUGUGAGAUCAAUGAAAGAAGUGCCUAGAAUGCGAUCUAUCUUCCCAACUGCCAAAGGCCUUAAGAUUCCAAUCUUAAGAAGGGGUCAGUUUCUGUGGGAUGCCCUGAUGGUCACUAGACAACUUCUAAAUUCAUCUCUAGAGCCUUCUUUCCCUUCCAUUUACUGGACCAAGAUAACAUAUUUUCUCCCUCUCCUGAAUUCAUUGUAAUAACCAACCUACAUGGGCACCAAUCUGGCAGAAGCAAAACCUAAGUCCUAUUUUAAAUGAAAGCCCUUCUGUUUCAACACCUCCAAACAGCCUGAGCAGCCACAGCUUUUAAAUAGCUAUGUGCCGGAUGUUUCGACACCUACAGCACACAUGGCUACUGACUGCACCAUGAAUCGCUAGUACAGUUUUGUUCUUUUGAACAAAAAUCCGGAAGAUUUACAACAUGAUCUCCAACAACUAGCUCAGCUCACAAAAUCAGUAGGACUGGAAAUGAACUUGAAGAAAACAAAAUGGAUGAAAAAUCAGCAGUGUGUCCAGGGUUACAGCAUUAUAAAUGGAGAGGAAAUUGAGGAAGUGACUGAGUAUGUACAGUCGAAUAAUUUGGUGAAUGGGCAAGAGGACGCAAGGUGGCUUGGACAGCUUUUAAUUGAAACCGGACAGUGCUAACAGAUGAUAAGCUAACAAUGAAGGUCAGAGUAGAUAUCUUCAACACUAAAGUUUUACCAGCAAUGUUAUACACCUCUGAAACAUAGGCAACAACUAAGUUAAUCGAGUGGGGGAACUGGUGAUGACUCAGAGAGCAAUGGAAAGAAGGAUGCGUGGCAUGACAACAAGAGAUGAAGUCAGCAACAAAGAGCUCUCUUUAUUGUGACAUGGUCAAUGAAAUCUAUGAGGCAAAAAGAAGAUGGGCAGGGCAUAUAGCACGAACAAAAGACAACCGAUUGACAUGUCGACUAACGAGCUGGAUACCAAGAGACGACAAGCGGCCCUUGGACAGACCUCGUAUUUGAUGGGACGAACCAACAGUUAAGCUAUUCAGGUAGAAAUGGAAAAGAAAAGCACAGGACUGUAUAUUUUGACAAAUUGUAGAUUUGUGUGUAGCCCAAAGGAGUUGAUAGGAUAGGAUCACAGUAGUAUUGUGAGAUAUAUACACACAUCAAAUUAUUUAAUACUACACAGUGAAACAAUAAAUGACUAAGUAGUGGUAGCAUUUCUGUGGGGUUUCAGCUCUGAUAGAAGAGUCCCAGUUGGGAUUUGAGUACCCCAGUCAAUCAAUGAACUUCUCUCUCAGGGCCUUUCUACACAGGCCCUAAAGUGUGGAAGUUACCAGGUUAAUGGGGAGGUGCAAGGUAGCUAAAUCCGUGCUGAUUCACAGAUACAGAUGAAAAACAUGUGUUAAAAAGGUCUGCUUAUAUCCCAAUUCCAGCCAAAAAAGCACAUAUUUGCAUCAUUGUAUAUCCCUGCAGUCAUGCAAAACAUGUGUUUUCCUUCCCUUCCCCCAUGUAGACUGCUCCUGUGCAUGUGCGCUUUUAAAAAUCCCAAAACAGCUGAUCAGCUGAUCGGGUUGUCAAACGGACACACAAGUGGCUAAAGGGAAGCACAAGUGGAAAGCAAUUAGAACUCUCUGAAACACUUUCUUUUAAACUGUAUAAUCUUAUACAGAGGUUGAAUUAAAUAUUGGGGGAAGAGAUACGGGGGAAGUUUUUUAAAUUCCCUCCAUUAUGUUUUGGACCUCAUGCAAAUCUGCUUAUAUUUAUAUUAAAAUAUUUGCAUAUGUGCACAUACAGUUCAGCACAUAACGGAAUGAAUAAAAAUAUAUAUUCAGCUGGAUGUCUCCCUCAUCCAAUACAGAGGAAGCCUGUGAGGACAGUGGGGGACCCAAUCCCGGGACUAACAGGUCUGUGUGAGGACCUGAAGUCAGGUCCUGGGAUUUAAAACACAGAUUUUUGGCACUGUCUGGAAGCACCCUCAGACACAGCUACACAACUCUAUACUCUGAUUGCUAGAACAAGAGACUUUGGAAUAAGAUUUUGGUAAAGAGUGUUUGCCAAAGGUAAGAUGUUAUAGGGCACAAAUUUCUGUGGGACCUAGUAGUUGAAGAUGGGACCUCAAGAGGACUAAUGAAGUUAAAAGAAGGAAGAGAGCAUCACAAGGAAACAACUGAAGAGAUAUAUGGGAUAGUUAGAUUGCUGUUGCAAUGAAUGUUAGAUCAGAGAUAAAAAGCAAUCUUAGGUCUCUACAGGACACCGCUGUCUGCUGUUACUUACCCCCA